rnacentral:rRNA from 1 species
UACGGGGGGGUAAGCGUUGUUCGGAAUUACUGGGCGUAAAGGGCUCGUAGGCGGCCAACUAAGUCAGACGUGAAAUCCCUCAGCUUAACUGGGAACUGCGUCUGAUACUGGAUGGCUUGGAUUUGGGAGAGGAAUGCGGAAUUCCAGGUGUAGCGGUGAAAUGCGUAGAUAUCUGGAGGAACACCGGUGGCGAAGGCGGCAUUCUGGACCAAUAUUGACGCUGAGGAGCGAAAGCCAGGGGAGCAAACGGG